AACGAACGCUGGCGGCAGGCCUAAAACAUGCAAGUCGAACGGGUGUAGCAAUACAUCAGUGGCGCACGGGUGAGUAACGCGUGGGAACGUGCCCUUCAGUACGGGACAACGUCGGGAAACUGACGCUAAUACCGUAUAAUAUCUCCGGAUCAAAGAUUUAUCGCUGAAGGAGCGGCCCGCGUCUGAUUAGCUAGUUGGUGGGGUAAUGGCCUACCAAGGCUACGAUCAGUAGCUGGUCUGAGAGGAUGAUCAGCCACACUGGGACUGAGACACGGCCCAGACUCCUACGGGAGGCAGCAGUUAGGAAUAUUGGACAAUGGGCGAAAGCCUGAUCCAGCCAUGCCGCGUGUGUGAUGAAGGCCCUAGGGUUGUAAAGCACUUUCGUUGGGGAUGAUAAUGACCGUACCCAAACGAAGAAGACCACGG
rnacentral:rRNA from 1 species